rnacentral:rRNA from 1 species
UACGGGAGGCAGCAGUGGGGAAUAUUGCACAAUGGGCGCAAGCCUGAUGCAGCCAUGCCGCGUGUAUGAAAAAGGCCUUCGGGUUGUAAAGUACUUUCAGUCGUGAGGAAGGUGUUAAGGUUAAUAACCUUAGCAAUUGACGUUAGCGACAGAAGAAGCACCGGCUAACUCCGUGCCAGCAGCCGCGGUAAUACGGAGGGUGCGAGCGUUAAUCGGAAUUACUGGGCUAAAGGGCACGCAGGCGGUUAAUUAAGUUGGAUGUGAAAUCCCCGGGCUUAACCUGGGAAUGGCAUUCAAGACUGGUUAGCUAGAGUCUUGUAGAGGGGGUAGAAUUCCGAUGUGUAGCGGUGAAAUGCGUAGAGAUGUGGAGGAAUACCGGUGGCGAAGGCGGCCCCUGGACAAAGACUGACGCUCAUGUGCGAAAGCUGGGGAGCAAACAGGGAUUAGAUACC